rnacentral:rRNA from 1 species
GAUGAACGCUGGCGGCGUGCCUAAUACAUGCAAGUCGAGCGAACAGACGAGGAGCUUGCUCCUCUGACGUUAGCGGCGGACGGGUGAGUAACACGUGGAUAACCUACCUAUAAGACUGGGAUAACUUCGGGAAACCGGAGCUAAUACCGGAUAAUAUAUUGAACCUCAUGGUUCAAUAGUGAAAGACGGUUUUGCUGUCACUUAUAGAUGGAUCCGCGCCGCAUUAGCUAGUUGGUAAGGUAACGGCUUACCAAGGCAACGAUGCGUAGCCGACCUGAGAGGGUGGUCGGCCACACUGGAACUGAGACACGGUCCAGACUCCUACGGGAGGCAGCAGUAGGGAAUCUUCCGCAAUGGGCGAGAGCCUGACGGAGCAACGCCGCGUGAGUGAUGAAGGUCUUCGGAUCGUAAAACUCUGUUAUUAGGGAAGAACAAAUGUGUAAGUAACUAUGCACGUCUUGACGGUACCUAGUCAGAAAGCCACGGCUAACUACGUG